rnacentral:tRNA from 1 species
UUAAAUGGGGCGUAGCCAAGCGGUAAGGCAGCGGGUUUUGGUCCCGCCAUUCGGAGGUUCGAAUCCUUCCGUCCCAG